AAGUCAGAUGUGNAAUCCCGGGGCUCAACCCCGGAACUGCAUCCGAUACUNCCAUGCUAGAGGAUUGGAGAGGUAGCUGGAAUUCUUGGUGUAGCAGUGAAAUGCGUAGAGAUCAAGAGGAACACUCGUGGCGAAAGCGAGCUACUGGACAAUUCCUGACGCUGAGGCUCGAAGGCUAGGGUAGCGAAAGGGAUUAGAUACCCCUGUAGUCCUAGCAGUAAACGGUGCACGCUUGGUGUGAGGGGAAUCGACCCCCCUUGUGCCGGAGCUAACGCGUUAAGCGUGCCGCCUGGGAAGUACGGUCGCAAGACUAAAACUCAAAGAAAUUGACGGGGACCCGCACAAGCGGUGGAGUAUGUGGCUUAAUUCGAUGCAACGCGAAGAACCUUACCAAGGCUUGACAUGCAUCUCUAAACACGUGAAAGCGUGUGACCCUUCGGGGAAUUUGCACAGGUGCUGCAUGGCCGUCGUCAGCUCGUGUCGUGAGAUGUUGGGUUAAGUCCCGCAACGAGCGCAACCCUUGUGAAUAGUUGCCAGCACGUCAUGGUGGGAACUCUAUUCAGACUGCCCAGAUCAACUGGGAGGAAGGUGGGGACGACGUCAGGUCAGUAUGGCCCUUACGCCUUGGGCUGCACACGUACUACAAUGCCCAGCACAAUGAGAACCGAUACCGCGAGGUGGAGGAAAUCUGUAAAACUGGGCUCAGUUCGGAUUGGAGGCUGCAACUCGCCUCCAUGAAGUUGGAAUCGCUAGUAAUGGGGCAUCAUCUACGGCCCCGUGAAUACGUUCCCGGGUCUUGUACACACCGCCCGUCACAUCAUGGAAGCCGGUCGCACCCGAAGUGCCCGUACCAACCGCAAGGGGGUAGGGUCCUAAGGUGUAGCUGGUAACUGGGAUGAAGUCGUAACAAGGUNNCC
rnacentral:rRNA from 1 species